GACGAACGCUGGCGGCGUGCUUAACACAUGCAAGUCGAACGGAAAGGCCCUGCUUUUGUGGGGUGCUCGAGUGGCGAACGGGUGAGUAACACGUGAGUAACCUGCCCUUGACUUUGGGAUAACUUCAGGAAACUGGGGCUAAUACCGGAUAGGAGCUCCUGCUGCAUGGUGGGGGUUGGAAAGUUUCGGCGGUUGGGGAUGGACUCGCGGCUUAUCAGCUUGUUGGUGGGGUAGUGGCGUACCAAGGCUUUGACGGGUAGCAGGCCUGAGAGGGUGACCGGCCACAUUGGGACUGAGAUACGGCCCAGACUCCUACGGGAGGCAGCAGUGGGGAAUAUUGCACAAUGGGCGGAAGCCUGAUGCAGCAACGCCGCGUGCGGGAUGACGGCCUUCGGGUUGUAAACCGCUUUCGCCUGUGACGAAGCGUGAGUGACGGUAAUGGGUAAAGAAGCACCGGCUAACUACGUG
rnacentral:rRNA from 1 species